rnacentral:rRNA from 1 species
UACGAAGGGGGCUAGCGUUGUUCGGAAUUACUGGGCGUAAAGGUUUGUAGGCGGUUAUACAAGUCAGUGGUGAAAUCCUGGGGCUCAACCUCAGAAUUGCCAUUGAAACUGUAUGGCUAGAGAAUGUUAGAGGAAAGUGGAAUUCCUAGUGUAGGAGUGAAAUCCGUAGAGAUUAGGAGGAAUAUCGAUGGCGAAGGCAGCUUCUGGACAUUCUGACGCUGAGAACGAAAGCGUGGUAGCAACAG